AUUGAACGCUAGCGGGAUGCUUUACACAUGCAAGUCGAACGAGUGGCGGACGUGUGAGUCCUCUAUCGGAACUUUCCCAGUAGCGGGGGCUAACUACUCGAAAGAGUGGCUAAUACCGCAUACUAUUAGAGCGGCCGCUAUCGGAUUAGCUAGUUUGUGGGGUAAAGGCUCCCCAAGGCAACGAUCCGUAGCUGGUGUGAGAGGACGACCAGCCACACUGGGACUGAGACACGGCCCAGACUCCUACGGGAGGCAGCAGUGGGGAAUUUUGGACAAUGGGGGAAACCCUGAUCCAGCCAUCCCGCGUGUAUGAGAAGGCCUUCGGGUGGUAAAGUACUUUUGGCAGAGAAGCGGUAUCUGCAGAAGAAGCACCGGCUAACUACGUGCCAGCAGCCGCGGUAAUUC
rnacentral:rRNA from 1 species